rnacentral:rRNA from 1 species
GAUGAACGCUGGCGGCGUGCUUAACACAUGCAAGUCGAACGGAAAGGCCCAAGCUUGCUUGGGUACUCGAGUGGCGAACGGGUGAGUAACACGUGGGUGAUCUGCCCUGCACUUCGGGAUAAGCCUGGGAAACUGGGUCUAAUACCGGAUAGGACCACAUUUUGGAUGGUGUGGUGGAAAGUUUUUCGGUGUGGGAUGAGCUCGCGGCCUAUCAGCUUGUUGGUGAGGUAAUGGCCUACCAAGGCGUCGACGGGUAGCCGGCCUGAGAGGGUGUACGGCCACAUUGGGACUGAGAUACGGCCCAGACUCCUACGGGAGGCAGCAGUGGGGAAUAUUGCACAAUGGGCGCAAGCCUGAUGCAGCGACGCCGCGUGGGGGAUGACGGCCUUCGGGUUGUAAACUCCUUUCGCUAGGGACGAAGCGUUUUUGUGACGGUACCUGGAGAAGAAGCACCGGCUAACUACGUG